rnacentral:rRNA from 1 species
UAGGGAAUCUUCGGCAAUGGGGGCAACCCUGACCGAGCAACGCCGCGUGAGUGAAGAAGGUUUUCGGAUCGUAAAGCUCUGUUGUAAGAGAAGAACGUGUGUGAGAGUGGAAAGUUCACACAGUGACGGUAACUUACCAGAAAGGGACGGCUAACUACGUGCCAGCAGCCGCGGUAAUACGUAGGUCCCGAGCGUUGUCCGGAUUUAUUGGGCGUAAAGCGAGCGCAGGCGGUUUAAUAAGUCUGAAGUUAAAGGCAGUGGCUUAACCAUUGUUCGCUUUGGAAGCUGUUGAACUUGAGUGCAGAAGGGGAGAGUGGAAUUCCUUGUGUAGCGGUGAAGUGCGUAGGUAUAUGGAGGAACACCGGUGGCGAAAGCGGCUCGCUGGUCUGUAACUGACGCUGAGGCUCGAAAGCGUGGGGAGCAAACAGG